rnacentral:rRNA from 1 species
CCUACGGGGGGCUGCAGUGGGGAAUAUUGGACAAUGGGCGCAAGCCUGAUCCAGCCAUGCCGCGUGAGUGAUGAAGGCCUUCGGGUUGUAAAGCUCUUUUGUCCGGGAAGAUAAUGACUGUACCGGAAGAAUAAGCCCCGGCAAACUUCGUGCCAGCAGCCGCGGUAAUACGAAGGGGGCUAGCGUUGUUCGGAAUCACUGGGCGUAAAGCGCACGUAGGCGGCUUGUUAAGUCAGAGGUGAAAGCCUGGAGCUCAACUCCAGAACUGCCUUUGA